CUGUUUUGAACUAUUUAUUUGUUAGCACCAAGAUAAUACACAAUGUUGUAUUUGCAUUAAUUAAAAACAAAUCAUUUUGAAACAUUACAUUAGAUAAACAAUUAUGAUGAUGAUAUCGACAUAUACAGCUAAAUAAAAAUGUAAAAAAACUCUACUUUUUUGCUGCAUCGCUUCACUCCAGCUAAAUGGCUAAUUAGCUCGAGGUCAUAAACAAUUUAAAUGUCUUCAAAACUCAAAUACUAUAAUGAGGUUUUGUGAUUGACUUAUAAAUAAUAAGCUAACAAAACAUAAAGAGCAAUAUUACAUUAGAUAAACAAUUAUCUGCUUUUAAUGCAGGUUAAAAACAUAGUUAUAUAGGAAUAUCAACAACAUGU
rnacentral:lncRNA from 1 species